UUUGUGUAUGGCUUGUUUAUAUUAUUUCAGAAUUUGCUAUUUUAGACACUUGGUAUAAGCUGUCAUACUAAUUUGCUGUUUUAGACAUGUGGCUUGUGAUAUCCCACUAAUUAGCUAUUUUAAACAUGUGACAA
rnacentral:lncRNA from 1 species